UGGGGAAUUUUGGACAAUGGGGGCAACCCUGAUCCAGCGACGCCGCGUGGAGGAUGAAGGUCUUCGGAUUGUAAACUCCUUUUGGAGGGGAUGAAUGGCUUGGUGAAUAGCCAAGUGUGACAGUACUCUCUGAAUAAGCCACGGCUAACUACGUGCCAGCAGCCGCGGUAAUACGUAGGUGGCAAGCGUUACUCGGAAUCACUAGGCGUAAAGCGCAGGUAGGCGGUUUGGAAAGUCUGUUGUGAAAGCUCCCGGCUUAACUGGGAGAGGUCAACGGAAACUACCAGGCUGGAGUGUGGUAGAGGAAGAUGGAAUUCCCGGUGUAGCGGUGAAAUGCGUAGAUAUCGGGAGGAAUACCUAUGGCGAAAGCAGUCUUCUGGACCAUCACUGACGCUGAUCUGCGAAAGCUAGGGGAGCAAACAGGAUUAGAUACCCCCGUAGUCC
rnacentral:rRNA from 1 species